rnacentral:ncRNA from 1 species
GGUUCGCGUAACAGCGAUUAAUAGGGAAUGUGGUGAAAAUCCACAACUGUCCCGCAGCUGUAAGUUCCUUUUUCAUCUAUAUGCAACAAUCCACUGCCACUGUUACCCUCGUUUGGAAACACCAAACGAGAGGAAGGCGGGAAGGAGCAUAUGGACGGAACGAAGUCAGAAGACCUGCCUCACGUAAAU